rnacentral:rRNA from 1 species
GUAGUCAUAUGCUUGUCUAAAAGAUUAAGCCAUGCAUGUCUAAGUAUAAACGAAUUUAUACAGUGAAACUGCGAAAGGCUCAUUAAAUCAGUUAUAGUUUAUUUGAUAGUACCUACUACUUGGAUAACCGUAGUAAUUCUAGAGCUAAUACAUGCUAAAAGUCCCGACUUUGCGGAAGGGAUGUAUUUAUUAGAUAAAAAACCAAUGCUAGGGGGCAACUCCUAGGUCACUGGAUGAUUCAUGAUAACUUUGCGAACCGCAUGUCCUCGCGACGGCGGUGAUUCAUUCAAAUUUCUGCCCUAUCAACUUUCGAUGGUAGUGUAGUGGACUACCAUGGUUGCAACGGGUAACGGGGAAU